CUUCAUGGUUUGAUGCUGCAAAAUUAAGAAAGCUAAGACCAAGUUUCAAGCAGAACGAGGGCUCUGUUACUGCUGGCAAUGCUUCAAUCAUAAGUGAUGGUGCAGCUGCAUUAGUCCUAGUGAGUGGAGAGAAGGCACUUCAACUUGGAUUGCAAGUAAUUGCAAAGAUUAAGGGCUAUGCUGAUGCAGCUCAGGAAAGCCUUAACGUACAUGGUGGGGCUGUAUCAUUGGGACACCCAUUAGGAUGCAGUGGAGCUCGUAUCUUGGUCACAUUGUUUGGGGUAUUGAGACAUAAAAAGGGAAAGUACGGGGUUGGUGCCAUAUGCAACGGUGGCGGGGGAGCUUCUUCACUUGUUCUUGAGCUCAUGCCAAAUUAAUAUUGAAACAAGGAGAAAUUGAAAAACUGAUUGAUCCAAAGCUAGGAGGGGCCUAUGAUAUUACUCAGCUAAAAAGACUUGCCUUUGCUGCAUCACUUUGCA